rnacentral:rRNA from 1 species
GAUGAACGCUGGCGGCGUGCCUAAUACAUGCAAGUCGAACGAGCUCUUCGGAGCUAGUGGCGGACGGGUGAGUAACACGUUGGUACCUACCCCGAAGUGGGGAAUAACUGCCCGAAAGGGUGGCUAAUACCGCAUAAUACCGUAAGGUUAAAGCAGUAAUGCGCUUCGGGAGGGGCCUGCGUCCCAUUAGCUAGUUGGCGGGGUAAAUGCCCACCAAGGCGACGAUGGGUAGCUGGAUCGAGAGGUUGACCAGCCACACUGGGACUGAGAUACGGCCCAGACUCCUACGGGAGGCAGCAGUAAGGAAUCUUCCACAAUGGACGAAAGUCUGAUGGAGCAACGCCGCGUGCAGGAUUAAGGCCUUCGGGUUGUAAACUGCUUUUCCCAGGGAAGAAUAAUGACGGUACCUGGGGAAUAAGUCACGGCUAACUACGUGCCAGCAGCCGCCGUAACAC